rnacentral:rRNA from 1 species
AAUGAACGUUGGCGGCGUGGAUUAGGCAUGCAAGUCGUGCGAGAAUCUCCCUUCGGGGAGAGGACAGCGGCGAAAGGGAGAGUAACGCGUGGUUACAUACCCUCGGGACCGGGAUAGUAGCGGGAAACUGCUAGUAAUACCGGAUAAUAUCUUUGGAUCAAAGGUGUGAUUCCGCCCGAGGAUUGGACCGCGUUCUAUUAGCUUGUUGGCGGGGUAAUGGCCCACCAAGGCGACGAUGGAUACCGGGUGUGAGAGCAUGGCCCGGCUCACUGGGACUGCGACACUGCCCAGACACCUACGGGUGGCUGCAGUCGAGAAUCUUCGGCCAUGGGGGCAACCCUGACCGAGCGACGCCGCGUGCGGGAUGACGGCCCUCGGGUUGUAAACCGCUGUCAGUUGGGAGGAAGUGCCAGGGGGUUCUCCCCUUGGUUUGACCGAUCUUCAGAGGAAGGACGGGCUAAGUUCGUGCCAGCCGCCGCAGUAAGAC